rnacentral:tRNA from 1 species
AGUCCUGUAGUGUAGCGGUCCAUCAUGCCGGCCUUUGGAGCCGGCGACCCCGGUUCGAACCCGGGCAGGACUACCA